UACGGGAGGCAGCAGUGAGGAAUAUUGGUCAAUGGGCGAGAGCCUGAACCAGCCAAGUAGCGUGCAGGAUGACGGCCCUAUGGGUUGUAAACUGCUUUUAUGCGGGGAUAAAGUGGGGGACGUGUCCCCCUUUGUAGGUACCGCAUGAAUAAGGACCGGCUAAUUCCGUGCCAGCAGCCGCGGUAAU
rnacentral:rRNA from 1 species